rnacentral:lncRNA from 1 species
AUACAUUCAUGCUAACAAAAAAUGUUUUGCGGGAAUCAUUUUCAUUCACAGCGCUCCUCAAUUCAGACAUUAUCUACAAGGUAAAAUGGAAAUUCAAAUACUGCAUAGCUACAAAUCUGUGAGAAGGAGAAGUUUUAAAUUAAAAGAAAUCAUGAUGCUCACAGGUACAUUCGGGAGAUGGUGCUGCAAACAUUACACAAGAUGGAGAGGAAAACUAGUACUGAAUAACUCAUAUCUGAACUGAGAAAAAAGAGAGAAAGUAACAUCUCACUUACACUGCAGACAUUGCAGGAAAUGCAUCAUGAAGCUACAGCAAGCGAAGAAGGCACAACAGAACCUAAUCCCUGGGAGGCACACAUGUUUGACAACAUCAGUUUGGAACAGGUAGCCACAUAAAUAUAAAUCAAAGUCACAAAUAGAAUAUGAACGUAUUUGUACAAGCCUGUUUGAAAAUUAAAACGGACACAAAAAGAAUAAUUUUGCAGGUCCCUGAAGAUACCGACCCUAGUUCCACAACAAAUAAAUCAAAGUCAAACACAAACCAGAUAAAUCAAGAAGGACAAAGGGGAGAAACAGAGGACUCACAUGAACAAGACGCAGACAAUGAAUACCUCGAUGAAGAAGACAUUGAGAGGUUCCUGCAAAAUGAACAAGAG